rnacentral:lncRNA from 1 species
AACAUGAAUGGCUUAAUAAAUGGUAGUAUAAUCGAACAAAAAAAAAAACUAAUGCGUAGUGGUAGCACAAUAAAACCAUUGUCAUCAGUGCAAAUGGAAUCGCUUAAUAAAGAGUUAAAUACAUAUUUGUAUAAACAAAAAAAAAGUGAACAAGCAAGAAUAUUCAAUGAAAAAUAUGGAGACAUUUUUUGUGACUUCAAAAUAUAUUCGAAAAACUCAAAAGAAAUAAACAAAAGGAUGAAAACGAAAAAAAGUUUAUCAGUUUCUGCGAAAAGUACAAAAUUUAAUUAUAUGAAUAAUUAUGCGAAUAAUUAUGCGAAUAAUUAUGCGAAUAAUAAGGAAUCAUCACAAUUAAUGGGACUACGAAGCAUGUCAAGAUAUACAAAACAACCUCAAUUUAAUUUUAAAAGAAAAGGAACUACAUUAUUAGCUGAUAUAAAAGAAUUAAAUAGUAUUAGUGAUUCUAAUAGUUAUAAUGAUGAAGUAGAAGAAAAUUGUUUAGAAAAAUUAAUAAAAAUGAGAUAUACACCUGAACAUAUUUCACAAUUAAGUGACCUAUUCGAAAGUCCUAAAACAAUCAAAACAAUUAAUCUUAAAAUAUUAAAAUGGCUAGAUCAACAGUUAUAUAAUGGUUAUUGGUUUGAGCGCUUUUCUUUAUUUUUACUAGGAUUAACUAUAGCUAUUGGUGUUGGUGGUAUAGAAACUUUUUGGAUGCUAAUGUCAACCUGGCAUGGCGUUAUAUUUGUAUUACCAUAUAUUUUGUGCUAUACUCUUGUAUGUCAUCCUAUUUUGUUAUUUGAAUUAUAUAUAGGACAAUUAGUUAGAGCAUCAUCCCCUUUUAUUUUUUAUAAAAUUUUAAAACGUUGUGCUUCGGUUGGUUUUUUAAUUAUAAUAAUAUGUCUAAUUAAUAGUUAUAUACACUCAUAUAGAAUUGCAGCUGAAUAUUUUACUUAUCUUAUUAAUUCGUUUAAAAAAGAAUUGCCAUGGAAACUAAACUUAAAUGAAAUAAAUUUUUGUAAUAAUAUAAAACAUGAUAUAAUCACUUGCUUAAAAUAUAAACCAUUAUGUUUAUAUUCAAAAUUUACAUCUACAUGUGUACCUAAUAAUAUAGGUAAAGCUUUUUUAAUAUAUCAACAUAAAUUUUAUCCUAAAAAUGAAAAAUAUAAUUUUUUAUUAAGCAUACAAAAAAAUAAUAGCUUUGCUCAUAUCUUUUCAAAUAAUAAUUCAUAUUUUGAUAAAGACAUUUUUAUUUUUUUAUGUGUAUGUAAUUUGUUUAAUACCAUUUUUCAAUUCUUCGGACUUACAAACUUUGCCUUCGCAUCUGCGUUAGUUUUGUUGUUAAUUUCGGUUUUGUCUAUAAUUCAGUUUGUCACCAUGUUUAACUUGAGUAGUGUUUACGAGGCUUACUACCACGUUCUCAGUGAGUUUUCCAAAAAAAAAAAAAAAAAAAAAAAAAGACUGGACAGUACUAGACAGUACUGGACAGCAUUGGACAGCACUGAACAGCACUGGACAGUACUGGACAGCAUUGGACAGCAUUGGACAGCAUUGGACAGCACUGGACAGCACUGAACACCGAUGGACAAAUAGUCUUUAUGUAUGUAUACGUGUGUACAUGUGUCUGUGUGUAUAUAUAUUCUUUUAAUUUUGUAGGCUCCUGGGAAUUCUCCUACCUAUACAAAUAUUCAUCUAUCUGGUCCCAGUGCGUGUCCUUAGCCCUAUACGAGCUUUCCAUUGGAAUGGGGAUCUACUCAUCGCUUGCUGCAAAGACGAGGUAAUUAA